GUGAGGAAUAUUGCACAAUGGGCGAAAGCUUGAUGCAGCAACGCCGCGUGGGUGAUGAAGGCCUUCGGGUCGUAAAACCCUUUUGAGGGAGACGAGCAAGGACGGUAUCUCUCGAAUAAGGUUCGGCUAACUACGUGCCAGCAGCCGCGGUAAAACGUAGGAACCGAGCGUUAUCCGGAUUCACUGGGUGUAAAGCGCGUGCAGGUGGCUUCGUAAGUUGGACGUGAAAUCUCCUGGCUUAACUGGGAGAGGCCGUUCAAUACUGCGGGGCUUGAGGGCAGGAGAGGGAGGUGGAAUUCCCGGUGUAGUGGUGAAAUGCGUAGAUAUCGGGAGGAACACCAGUGGCGAAGGCGGCCUCCUGGCCUGCUCCUGACACUAAGACGCGAAAGCUAGGGGAGCGAACGGGAUUAGAAACCCCAGUAGUCC
rnacentral:rRNA from 1 species